AUGAGAUAUAUAGUACUGCUCAUCCACAAGAAACUGUCAGCCUUAAAUGGACAUUGCCAGUUGCUAUAAAAAUAAUUUCUGCUUUAUAUUUUUAACCCUGUAACAUUUUUAGGGCAUUUAAAAAUAGCGUUUCUCUAUUAAUCUUGAUUCAUCUUUUCCACUCAGCAAACACUGAUUUUUUUUCCUGUGUGAAAUUAACAUGAGUUUACUUCGUCCUGAUCAGUUCAUUUGAAAUCCCCAAGUUUUGCACGCACACAGGUGGAACAAUCUACGUGACUCACAGCCACCCCAAAUUAAGAAACAUAGAACAUCUAGAUCACAAACUCUCCUUUUUGCUCCACAUAGAGUACACUCGCACGCACAGCUUCACCGGACAUCUUGGUAAGAGCACACCCAGCUUCUAUAUACACCUUCAUCGUCUACCCACCUUCAUGACUCCUGGAAAGAUGGUACAGCUUCACGCUACCUUUCUUGAUGACUUUCAGUACAUGCAG